rnacentral:lncRNA from 1 species
AGCAAUCUGUCAGUUGAUAGUUAGUACUACGUAAGCUUUCCAGGGUCAUAGAACAAGAAAAUGACCUUCUAGACUCCAAGACACACACACACACACACACACACACAUACCAAAAAAAAAAACUCAAAUUGAGAUCUCAAUCUUGAGAAUUUAAUCAAAUUUAGACUCCUGACUACGGAAAUCCUUACAAAGUAAAACCCAACGUCGUCCAUCGACCUGUUUCUCGUUUCUUUCCAUGUACGUGCGCAUGCAGUGGGAGAUGCCUAGCUUUGGUAGAUCUGGGCAAAAGACAUUAUUAUUUCGAAUUUCGAAUUUCUUUUCUUUUUUUUUCCCCCCUUGUGUCUGAGAUCAGAUACCGACGCUAUCCGAUUCAGGUUUGCAUCGUCAUCUGUGACGCUCUCUCGCGGAAGAUGGCGGCUGGUAGUGUUGUCACUGUGUAUGAUUUCUGAAGUAAGGUAGGUACGGUACAGCAUACGAGAGAUUCCGCGGACUAGAUGAAGCUUGUCUGUGCCUCGAUCGUAAUCGAUUGAUCGUUUUCCCAUGGACAAGACUUUUCAAUAUCGAUUGUGCGAAUCUACGUACGUUUGAAAAAUAUAAAAAAAAAAAACCUUAUGUGACUGACCAUGGUGCGUUUCAGGAGUGACGACGCAAACCGCAAGACGGGAAUUGAGCUCCGUAUGCUUUCUUCUGUCCUUUGCGUUUUAACCCUAUCCAUCUCCAGAGUCACCGUCGACGGUGUUGUAGUGUCAACAUACAUUCAAUAACUACUUUGAUGUUACGAUACAGCAUUCUGUACCAUGCAGACGCUCAUUCUGCAAUGCGGAAGAUACAUCCCCCCGCCCCCCCCCCCUCCCCCCAAAACAGAUCUGGUGCAUCACGUCACGACUCUGCCGCAUGGCAAAUCAAGGCAGACUACAACCAAGAUCUGGCUCCUCGAUCUUAGAUUCAUGCUCCAAUCCGAUCGAAUGAUGAGCAUUGCAUUGCCAUACAUAAUAACGCAUUCAUUCCGGAACAGGACUAGUGUUUGGACGGUCUGGUAUUGUGGCUGUUGACGGGGCUAGACAUAUUACGUACUCCUGGAGUCCUGAGUCCUGAGUCGUGAAGUCCAAUCCAAUAGGUAACUACUACGUGGUACGUAGUAACUAACUAAUAAUCCACGGGCUAUGGAUGCUUUCAUCCUACGAUUUACCUUACUCCAUUAGUGACUCGUGAGUGAGUGAUACGCGGAAUUCCUUACGGAACCCCACAGAGCUGUCCAUACCGCUGGAUCAUGCACGUAAGGCUCAUUACGGAAGCGUAGAGUAGUGCGCUGGUAGGGAUGUCUGCGAAUACGAGACGAGAACGAACUGAGGCAAGAAAAAGGGGGCAAAAGAAAGUGAGCAAAAAGAAAACGGAGAUCUGUUCUCCGCCAGGAGGCGAGUACGUACACCACAUUGUACACUGUACAGUGAGUGGUACACCGCACGGAGAACGCCGCAAGGACCAUAAUUCAUUAGUUACGGUACGUACGACCGACUGAUGGAGGGAGGAUAUGGCUUUGCCAAGACCAUGGACUUGUGUGCAAAAUACCAAGAGAGCCCCGUCCCAUGGCAUGGCAUGGCAAGGCAAUUCAAGUCUUCCGACUCGCAAUUAGGAUUUGGGGAAUCUUCAGCAAUCUCCCUCCCCAAAGUAAAAAGUCCACAUGGGUUGUACCACUAGUAUGUAUGUACCCCUCGAGUAGUAAACCUCAAACCCCAAAACUUCAAACUUUCGCAUAAACUUUAGCCUAGUCGCAGUUGUUAACCCGAUCUAAACACUCCCCUGGGUCCUCAUCCCAUGCCAAUUAACGAGCUACUGAGUUGGGGGCCCUUGGACACAAAGUCAACAAGUCAAAGUAAAUCUGCUAGUAAAAACCUAACUUUGUCUGACAAGUUGGGCCACCAAGAAGGAAACAAAAAACAAAGUUAAGGGUAGAUCUCAGACCCUUUCUUUCUUUUUUUUUUUUUUUUUUUUUUUUUUUUUUUUUUUUUUUUUUUUUUUUCCUUUCCCGUCCCCUUCCUACGGCCUUCAAUAAUUUACAACGUACUAACCAUCAUGGAAGG